GGAAGGAUCAUUACUGAUUCUCUCUUGUGCGCGCGAUGCAUGUUACAGUGCGUCGCCGCAUCAACACCUGUUGCACUGUGAAUAGCACUCCUCCUGCGGAGGUGGACUAUUUUCAACUCUGUACUCUUUCUAUUUUGUUGUUUGACACACAAAUCUAGCAGUGUCCCGUUGGGACGCUUGCGUUAAUAACCAAUACAACUUUCAACAACGGAUGUCUUGGUUCCCGCAUCGAUGAAGAACGCAGCGAAAUGCGAUACUUAAUGUGAAACGCAAUCCAGUGUGAAUCAUCGAGGUUUCGAACGCAUAUUGCGCUCUCGGAGUCACCUCUGGGAGCAUACCUGUUUGAGAAUCGUUUAAUUAUGUCCUCUGGUUUGCCCUUUCGAGCGAGCUGGGGGGAGUUGAGAGCCCACAUUUCCUCUAUUGGGGGAGUGUGUCUCUUCAAGUCGAGAUCCGCAUUCUGGCUUUGUGGCCACUCGACCAUGUUUAGGCAAUGUGUAUUAUACCGCGAUGUGUCGGAGUGAUUCUAUCACUACAACGAUCAUUGUGGGCAGUGCGCAGAGCCGACUCGGCAUGGUCGGGCAAGAUGCGUGUAGUGUCCUUAUUACUAAGGGCACGCCACCUAUAUCACAAUUGCGAUCUCAAAUCAGGCAAGAGGACCCGCUGAACUGAAGCAUCUCAAUAAGCGGAGGAAAAGAAACUAACAAGGAACCCCUUAGUAACGGCGAGUGAAGCGGGGUAAGCUCAAAUUUCAAAUCUAUGUUCCCAGCGAGCAUCGAAUUGUAGUUUAAAGGAGCGUCAUCGAUGAUGGCCUGGGUAUAAGUGACCUGGAACGGUCCGUCACAGAGGGUGAGAACCCCGUUCGUGGCCUAGAGUCCAUUAUCAUACGAGGCGUUUCCUAAGAGUCGGGUUGUUUGGGACUACAGCCUUAAUUGGGUGGUAAAUGCCAUCUAAAGCUAGUAUAUCUGCGGGAGACCGAUAGCGAACAAGUACUGUGAAGGAAAGAUGAAAAGCACUUUGAAAAGAGAGCUAAAAGGACCUGAAAUUGUUGAAAUGGAAGCGAUGGAAAUUAGUAUUUACGGUGGUAAGACCCUGAUUGCAGUACUUUGAGGGGGUGCUUGCAGAGCCAAAAGCCUGCGGGUGCUUCUCGCUCGGAGGCAUGCGGUCGGAUCUCUUGCUACGGUAGGCCAGUAUCAUUUCCUGUUGGAGUGGAUAAAGGCAGCGGAAAGUCGGGGCGAUUGAGUCGAACGGCUCGUUUCCCUUUGUAGUCCGCGGCUGGGACAUUCUAUGGAAAUGAGGCAAACAGUGAUGUGCAAAGUACGCGCCCCGGCGAGUGUGCUGCUCUGAGAUGUCAAAAGUCUCUGGGGUGGACACACGACGGCGUACUCUGGAUACUGGCGAAUUGGUUUUCAUCGACCCGUCUUGAAACACGGACCAAGGAGUCUAACGAUAGCGCGAGUAAUUGGGUGACAAACCCGUAUGCGCACUGAAAGGGAAGGUGUCAUUGGACACUGAGGUGAGAGGGUUGUCGUGAAGACGAUCUGCAUCACCGACCAAUCCAGAGUCUCUGAUGAAGGAUUUGAGUAAGAGCGUUAUCGUUGGGACCCGAAAGAUGGUGAACUUUGGCGACUUGGGUCGAAGUCAGAGGAAACUCUGAUGGAGGAUCGUAGAGGUACUGACGUGCAAAUCGUUCUUGAAAAGCCGCUAAAGGGGCGAAAGACUAAUCGAACCAUCUAGUAGCUGGUUCCCUC
rnacentral:misc_RNA from 1 species